rnacentral:misc_RNA from 1 species
UCCAGCUUAUCUCUGGAGUCCGCGACCGGGAUGUCAAGGGCUGGUAAGGUUCUGCGCGUUGCGUCGAAUUAAACCACAUGCUCCACCGCUUGUGCGGGCCCCCGUCAAUUCCUUUGAGUUUUAAUCUUGCGACCGUACUCCCCAGGCGGAAUGCUUAAAGCGUUAGCUGCGCCACUAGUGAGUAAACCCACUAACGGCUGGCAUUCAUCGUUUACGGCGUGGACUAC